CUAGUACUCCCUACGUCUAGAAUUACUUGUCAUCAAAAUGAAUGAAAAUGCAUGUAUCUAAAACUAAAAUACACUUAGAUACAUCCAUUUUAAUGACAAGUAUUUCCGGACGGAGGAAGUAUAUU
rfam:Triticum aestivum genome assembly, contig: Triticum_aestivum_CS42_TGACv1_scaffold_578252_7BL